GUUUAUAAUCUCCACCCGGCACAGCCAGAAGAGGACUGGCCACCCCUCAGAGCCUGGUUCCUCUCUAGGUUUAUAAUCUCCACCCGGCACAGCCAGAAGAGGACUGGCCACCCCUCAUAGCCUGGUUCCUCUCUAGGUUUAUAAUCUCCACCCGGCACAGCCAGAAGAGGACUGGCCACCCCUCAUAGCCUGGUUCCUCUCUAGGUUUAUAAUCUCCACCCGGCACAGCCAGAAGAGGACUGGCCACCCCUCAUAGCCUGGUUCAUCUCUAGGUUUAUAAUCUCCACCCGGUACAGCCAGAAGAGGACUGGCCACCCCUCAGAGCCUGGUUCAUCUCUAGGUUUAUAAUCUCCACCCGGUACAGCCAGAAGAGGACUGGCCACCCCUCAGAGCCUGGUUCAUCUCUAGGUUUCUUCCUAGGUUGGCUAAUGCCUUUCUAGGGAGUUUUUCCUAGCAACUGUGCUUCUACAUCUGCAUUGUUUCUGCA